ACUUCUGCAGCCAUCAACACUUUGCUGGUACAAAGAAUGUGACCUCUGAAGAAGCUGGCAGCCCUUGCAACCAAGUGAGCUAGUAGAGUGCACCCGGCUUUCCUGUGUCUUCUGGGGUGUUGCUGGGGCUCUGCUGUUUCGUCUGGUCCACUAAUGGGACUAUCAUCUGAGUGUUUUACGGAUUUGUAUUUGUGGCACUACUGGGCAUGGCUCCAUUUGGUCUCAGACACCCAUGGAGCUGUUUUGAACAGAGGAGAGAAAUUCAGGAUUCUACUCAGCCCCUUAACUGGUGUUUGUUUGGAAGCUCACCAUUUGUUUAUCCAACUCUCCUAAAUCAAUCUUCAAUUCAUCUUGCUCAUGGUGUUCCCCAUGUUAUCAUCAUUUGUGCUAAUCUGAGGAUUUGGUGAUGCUGCAUUUCCUGUGAUAUUCCUACGUUGCUCCUGCGAGUUUAUAUUUUCAACCUUCUGAAACCUCCCGUGCAAGAUUUGAUGCUGAUGUUGAUGACAUCACCCAAAAACAUUGACAGGAGGUUUGCAGACCAAGUUUAUACAGGUAAAUGAGGACAAUCACAUUAUGACUGCCUUCUCGUCAAUAGUGUUUUAACGCUUUCAAAUUUAAGAUGCAUCUGUAUUUGAUAGAUGUGAAAAUGUGCACUCUACAAUGAAUGGAAUACACUGUUUUCUCUGUGACUGCUCUUUUCUCAGUGUUAAAUUAUGGUGGCUCAUUGGCUAUAUUCUUGUUUGUUAUUGAGGAAAUAUGCUUAAAUCUUAUCACAUAAAUUUAUAAACUGCAUUUAUAUUCUACCUGGGAGCUUCACCGCUGUCCUCCAUUAGGGAAGUCCAGUUUGUUCACUUCUCAUUAAAGUGAGUGUCCAGAGAGGUGUUAUAAACUGCAUUUAUAAUUUUAGACACAUUAGAGUUAUUAGUGGAGUACUAGAAUUCUUAUGUCACGUAUGGAAAUAUAGUUCUAUGAACCAUGGUUUAAGAAAUCCAUUGAAGACGGA
rnacentral:lncRNA from 1 species